ACCUCUGGGUCUUAAGUGAAAGGAAGGAGACCAGCUUUUCUGUCUACAGAUGUAUAUACCCUCUGAUGGGGCCACCUGGGGAGGCUGGGCCAGGAGCCCAGAUGUACUGCCGCAUGAUACAUCAAAAAAGGAUGCACCCAGGCUUAGCUGCAGAAAGGAAGAUGUUCUAGAAAAGGGUCACUCUUCAACUUAGAUUGAGAAACAAGGAAUAGAGCCACACAAAAUAAAGCUGCUACAGCCCAGUACCAGCCAACAACUGCAGAACUGCAGGACAAGUCAUGAGUUAAACUGCUGGAUCAUAUGGUAUGCUAUAGUUUGAAUGUUUGACCCUCCAAACCACAAGUUGAAAUCUGAUCCCCGGUGUUGGAGCAGCCAUCCUACAUUCUGAGGGGACAGCCUGAGGACCAAGUCACACACUGAGGCUGGAAAAAUCUAAGUCUCUGAUGACACUGUUGAGCCACUGAAUAUACAACCCUAGCGCCA